rnacentral:misc_RNA from 1 species
UUCAUCAAGACCUAUAUAGUGGUCUACCAGCAAGGUAAAACUAGCUUUAAUAUGUAGAGAAGUUCUACAACCACUUAUUUGUUGUGCCCUGUAUAGGGAAAGUACUUUUAUUGUCUAGGCUAAUUAAGUGAAUUGAUAUUGAAGCUCUUUUAUCUUGUUGGUCUGUCAACGAGAUCAUUGAACCUAGAUAUUUAGAGAAGUUCUGCAACUGCUGCUUGGCUUUGUGGCAUUUGGGGAAAUAGCUUUUUGGUACACAAAUAAGGAAGCGUUUACUAAAUUAAGUUAUUUUGUGAUAUGCAUUACCAGAAAGGCAAAUAACUAAAAUGUAGUCUGGUGGGCUUCUUGUACUGAUUCCCCCAGUAUUGUUUAAACAUCAAAAUCAUAUACUCCAUCUUUUGAAUCAAAUAUAUGCAGUGUUGCCUGGAGCAACUGCUCUCUUGUAAACGAGUUCACAUACGUAGCCAGGCUAAAAGCCAUGUUAUAUUCUCUAAUAAUGGAAUGAAGUUCAUGAAAAGACAGAAGAUUUGGAGGAUGAUGAUGAUGAUCAUACCAGAUAAAUUCUUAGGACUAUCAGUGAAACAAGGAGCAGAGUUCCAGUUCCAGCAGCCAGAACAAAUCGUAAGGGCUCCUGCAAAUUUGGAGCACAUAAUGAGGCUUUCAUAUAGAUAGCAGUUAAAAUCUCUUCAUUAUUGAAAUAUAUCUGGCAUCAUAUUGAUGCUUCACAUUGUCAAAUGUUGGUUUCUCUGCUAUGUGAUUCUUAGUAACUGAUUUUAAGAAGUUUGGAAUGUAGUUUCAGAGUCGAAGGCUUGGAGAUAUAUAACUGCCUCGUUCCAUUUGUUAUAAAACUUGUAAUAAUGAAGACAUUCUUUUAAGAUCUAUUGUGGGAUAAGCCAGUUUUGUUCUAAUCUAGAUGGUGUUUUUGACAUUUAUUUUAAAUGAGGUCUUUAUUUUUAGCGUACCCUUUCAGGAUUGAAACUUGCAGCUGCAAUUGGGACUCCAAGAGUUGCGAAGGUUACUAACCAGAGACCUCCAAGACGAAGAAAAAGUGAUUGUGGACCCAGUUCACCCCAAGAAUACAAGACUCCAUCUUUCAGAGAUGCGUACUCAUUCACCUAUUACAGACAAGAAAUGAACUAAUGUAAGUACGAAUACAGUUGUCUUUAAAGCUAGAUGUUGAGAUACACCUGAAUCCACUAGAAUCUGUUCAGGUUAUGAUGCCAUUAAUCCACCAUCCUAUUUCAUUUUGCCAUAUGUUUCCUUCAUCAUAUGCAGAUUUUAGUGGAACUUGCAUGACUUUAGCAAAUCAUGUGUUUUUACUUCUCUGUUCAAUACCUGCAUAUGUAUAUGUUAAUAGAGCAGACAUGGAAUAGACAUACCGGUCUUUGUUCGAAAGGGACCUCAAUUUCCAAGCCAGGAUCCCAUCUCCGGCCUGGAAAGCUGCUUGUGCCUCCAUCUGUCUCAUCCUUCAAGGCCUUGACAGAAACUGAAGAAAAUGGUUUUUGAGCAGAUUGAGCUAGAUGGUACUUAAUGAUCCAUGAUCUGUGGCAGCUUCCAAGUUUGAUUUCCCUUGGACAAGGGAUUAAAGAGCAGUAGACAUUUAGCCUGAGCAUUUAAUUUCCGGUCGAAUUGGAACUGGCUGCUGUAGCACCCAAGUUCUGAACAAAUUUCCCUGUCGAGUUUUUGCCUCUUUGGCAGAGACUUAGAGUUCACUAGUUGAUCUGAUGGCUGCGAACUUGUUUGUGACCAUGCAUUAUUUACGUGGAUGAAAA